GACGAACGCUGGCGGCGUGCUUAACACAUGCAAGUCGAACGGAAAGGCCCGGCGCUUGUGGGGUGCUCGAGUGGCGAACGGGGGAGUAACACGCGAGUAACCCGCCCCUGACUGUGGGAUAACUUCAGGGAACUGGGGCGAAUAUCGGAGAGGAGCUCCUGCUGCAUGGGGGGGGUUGGAAAGAUUCGGCGUUGGGGGAUGGAAUCGCGGCUUAUCAGCUUGUUUGUGGGGUAGGGGCUUACGAAGGCUUCGAAGGCUAGCCGGCCUGGGAGGUUGACCGGCCACAUUGCGCCUGCGAUAGGGACCAGACUGCUACGGGCGGCAGCAGUCGGGAAUAUUGCACAAUGGGGCGACGCCUGAUGCAGCGACGCCGCGUGCGUGAUGCCGGCUUUCGGGUUGUAAACCGCUUCCGCCUGUGCCGAAGCGUGCGUGACGGUACUGGGUCAAGAAGCACCGGCUAACUACGUG
rnacentral:rRNA from 1 species